UACGUAGGGUGCAAGCGUUGUCCGGAAUUAUUGGGCGUAAAGAGCUCGUAGGCGGCCUGUCGCGUCGGCUGUGAAAACCCGGGGCUCAACCCCGGGCCUGCAGUCGAUACGGGCAGGCUAGAGUCCGGCAGGGGAGACUGGAAUUCCUGGUGUAGCGGUGAAAUGCGCAGAUAUCAGGAGGAACACCGGUGGCGAAGGCGGGUCUCUGGGCCGUAACUGACGCUGAGGAGCGAAAGCAUGGGGAGCGAACAGG
rnacentral:rRNA from 1 species